GCAAGCGUCACGAGCCAUGCAAGGUUCCAAUUUUUUGUGGUAUUACAUUGGUGGAUCAGUGGCAGCAGUAAAUGUCGUUUCGCUGAUUGCCUGUUUUUUUUGCAAGCGUCGAAGGACAGCUAUGGCUCUUCCUGAUCAAGAGCAGGCAAUUCAGAUGGAGCCAUUGAAUGUAGAGGUAGAUGAAUGGGAGAUUGAGGUGAGCCGUGUCCUGCU